ensembl:scaRNA
GGUCAGUGAUGUGAUGUAAAAGGGCUGAUGUCCAGGUCUCCUUCCAGUCCCCUCGUCCCUCCCAGCCAGCUCUACUAAUUUUCCCAGCAUGCUCUAGUUGUGCAGCCCUGGUGUGAUGUGGCGGCUGAUAUAAUGGAUGUUUCUGCUGAAUAAGAGUCUCUUUUAGAGAAUCAAGUGAGACUCUAACAGAAACGUCUGACAGAAACACAAACACAGGAGGGCCAGACUGAAGGAGCCUGGUCAGCUGAUCUCAAAAAUCAUACUGAGACC